AGCAGCCGCGGUAAUUCCAGCUCCAAUAGCGUAUAUUAAAGUUGUUGCAGUUAAAAAGCUCGUAGUUGAAUUUCGGGAUUGACGUGAUGGUCGUGCCUUACGGGGUAUGAACUGUUGCAGUCAAUUUCUCACCUUCUGGAGAAAUAUGAUGUCCUUAAUUGGGUGUCAUAUGGAACCAGAACCUUUACCUUGAAAAAAUUAGAGUGUUUAAAGCAGGCUUAUUGCUCGAAUACAUUAGCAUGGAAUAAUAAAAUAGGACGGCAUGGUUCUAUUUUGUUGGUUUCUAGGAUCACCGUAAUGAUUAAUAGGGAUAGUUGGGGGCAUUAGUAUUCAAUUGUCAGAGGUGAAAUUCUUGGAUUUAUUGAAGACUAACUACUGCGAAAGCAUUUGCCAAGGAUGUUUUCAUUAAUCAAGAACGAAAGUUAGGGGAUCGAAGACGAUCAGAUACCGUCGUAGUCUUAACCAUAAACUAUGCCGACUAGGAAUCAGACGAUGUUAAUUUUUUAAU
rnacentral:rRNA from 1 species